rnacentral:misc_RNA from 1 species
CUAAUGUCAGCAGAAGCCACAACAAGCAAUCUCUCUCUUUCUCCAUCUUCUACCUAUCGCUACUGAUCUGGCCACUCCAGUUAACGUCCCUUGGACUCAAACCCACAACUUCUCAACUCACAGUUUGGUACACAAUACUAGCUAUAGCUUCCAAUUCCAUGAUGAUAUUUUUGCUCCCUCCUCAUACCAUCCUUUUUAUAACCCACCUUUCUUCUUCUCUCCUCUUACCAUCUUCUUUCUUUUCUAUAUUGCUUACUUUCCUUUGCUUGCCGUGGCCUCAACCACCAUGGCUGGGCUUGCCACCGGUUCUCAUCCUCUGCAGGAUUAUGACGAGCACCGGCCUUCAACACGCCAGUCUGUGACUUCGAAAAUAUGCAGAGUCUGUGGGGAUGAGAUUGGUGUGAAGGAAGAUGGGCAGCUUUUUGUUGCUUGUCAUGUUUGUGGAUUUCCUGUUUGCAGGCCUUGUUAUGAGUAUGAGAGGAGUGAAGGAAACCAGUGCUGUCCUCAGUGCAACACUCGAUAUAAGCGUCACAAAGGU